rnacentral:rRNA from 1 species
UGGGGAAUAUUGCACAAUGGGGGGAACCCUGAUGCAGCGAACGCCGCGUGAGGGAAGAAGGUUUUCGGAUUGUAAACCUCUGUCCUCUGUGACGAUAAUGACGGUAGCAGAGGAGGAAGCCACGGCUAACUACGUGCC